rnacentral:rRNA from 1 species
UAGCGAAGUAGCUGAUUUCACACUGUCAAGAAAAGUCUCUAUCGAGGUUAAAGGUACCCGUACCGCAAACCGACACAGGUGGGUGAGGAGAGUAUCCGAAGGCCAGCGAGAGAACUGUUGUGAAGGAACUCGGCAAAAUGACCCCGUAACUUAGGGAUAAGGGGUGCAACCAUCAGGUGGCCGCAGAGAAUAGGCCCAAGCGACUGUUUACCAAAAACAUAGGUUUCUGCUAAGUCG